rnacentral:misc_RNA from 1 species
AGCAGCCGCGGUAAUUCCAGCUCCAAUAGCGUAUAUUAAAGUUGUUGCAGUUAAAAAGCUCGUAGUUGAAUUUCGGGAUCAAGGAAUCGGUCAUGCCUCGGUAUGUACUGGUUUUAUUGGUUCUCACCUUCUAAAGAACCAUGAUGUCAUUCAUUUGAUGUUAUGGGGAAUUAGGACUGUUACCUUGAAAAAUUAGAGUGUUUAAAGCAGGCUUACGCUUGAAUACAUUAGCAUGGAAUAAUGAAAUAGGACAUCAGAUUCUAUUUUGUUGGUUUCUAGGAUCGAUGUAAUGAUUAAUAGGGAUAGUUGGGGGCAUUAGUAUUCAAUUGUCAGAGGUGAAAUUCUUGGAUUUAUUGAAGACUAACUACUGCGAAAGCAUUUGCCAAGGAUGUUUUCAUUAAUCAAGAACGAAAGUUAGGGGAUCGAAGACGAUCAGAUACCGUCGUAGUCUUAACCAUAAACUAUGCCGACUAGGGAUCGGAUGAUGUUAAUUUUUAAUGACUCAUUCC